rnacentral:rRNA from 1 species
UAGGGAAUCUUCGGCAAUGGGGGGAACCCUGACCGAGCAACGCCGCGUGAGUGAAGAAGGUUUUCGGAUCGUAAAGCCCUGUUGUUAAGGAAGAACGAGUGUGAGAAUGGAAAGUUCAUGCUGUGACGGUACUUAACCAGAAAGGGACGGCUAACUACGUGCCAGCAGCCGCGGUAAUACGUAGGUCCCGAGCGUUGUCCGGAUUUAUUGGGCGUAAAGCGAGCGCAGGCGGUUAGAAAAGUCUGAAGUGAAAGGCAGUGGCUCAACCAUUGUAGGCUUUGGAAACUGGUUAACUUGAGGGCAGGAGGGGAGAGUGGAAUUCCAUGUGGAGCGGUGAAAUGCGUAGAUAAAUGGAGGAACACCGGUGGCGAAAGCGGCUCUCUGGUCUGUAACUGACGCUGAAGCUCGAAAGCGUGGGGAGCGAACAGG